UUUACAGUACCUGCUGAUUUGUCUAACAUGACUACCUAUACCUAAUCACUUACACGUAGUCUUAUCCGUUUUCAUGUAAAGCCUGCGAACGUGAAGAGAUAAGUUUGCAAAUGGGGAAGUAGUUCUGUACAUAUAGAUCUGGCGAAAAUGCAGCGCCGCCUGUGUUGCUAAAAAUAAACAGGGAAGUCAGAAAAACACCACGAGCAAAAUCUACCAUGUAGAAUUAGAAGCUCGAAGAAUUUCAUCUCGUCCUUGUUCCCGGCCAAGACGCACGCAAUUCUUGUUGAGUCACAAGUCGUAUAACGUCUUUGUACAUGUCCGUCAAGAAGACGCAACAGGCUUCUACUGUGUGUAAACGGAUAGAAGUAGAGUACCGGACGCAAUCCGGGUUGAAUCGUCGGUGGUGGAACGCAGCUUAAUGCUAUAAAUAACCGCUAGCUUCAGGGGAGGUGUCAAGUGGAGUAACAAGUAGAUAGACCUGUUCACUGUCAACACACACCAAACUGGGACCACUGAAAGCAAGAGUUCUCUUGAUCCCGUAGGCUAAACAACGACUGAAGAUGGGUGGCUUUUGAGCACAAUGGGUUUGCCAGUGGAAUGAUAAAAAGUUGAAGAAAAAGUUGCAGUCAUGGUAACCGCUCAUUUCGCAUUUGGAAAGGUGUUAGGUAGCCCCUAGCGCAUUCCACUUCUCUGCAGAAUAUCCGUUAAGUAACAACCUUGAAAAGUUCGCUGGCAGGAAAAAGAAAAGAAACUAUUGGUAGCUUCAGGUUUCAAGCUCAGUAAAAUAAGUUGAAAUAAGGCGGGGAUCUCUACGAUUUGUGCAUUUUCGUGAAAAAACAUGUGCCUUUUAUACCUUUGGUAACUUAACCCGAUUUAUAAAAAUCUGGAAAACAGAUAAAGUUUUAAUAAUAUUGUUUCUUUCUUUGGUUUAAAAUGCUUGAGAGUUCGCCCAAACAGCAUAGCAGACGUGACACAAAGUCACUUUCAACCACAACAAGUGUUGAACAUGAAGCGAAAGAAGAAUUGUUGGAAAAUGAUGUUCCCAUUGAUCUUAGUAAGAAGUCUUCUUGUCCUAUAUGGAAGAACAAAGACACGCAAGGAUCGUCAGAAAAAACGAACUUUCUAAAGAGUAUUGAAAGUGAUUGGAUUGAAAAAUGGCAAAAAAUUGCAGGCGGUGUGCUUCCUCCGAUGUUUUCCUCCUAUCUUCAUCUUGCCGAAGAUCCAUCAAGAACCCACUGGUCAACUUUAAAUCAUUCCGAUAAACUAUCGUAUAAUUCCAAAAGUGCUUCAUUUCUGUCUCCUUUUCUCUUUCCCGUGGGGACAUUAAAUUCCUGUCCCUUGGUUUGUGAUCCUUUCGGAAAUACUUUUAUUUUGACAGUUCAUCCAGAUGAUGAACAUAUUGUUCCUGUGCCAAUUGGUAGUCCUUUCAGUAAUGGAAUAAAACUUACUCAAACCGAUCUCACUGAUACAAUACCUGUAAGUGACAAACUUUUGUCAAAAUACCUAGAAAAUAGUCCUGAUGAAAAGGGUGAUCAAAGCAGUAAGAACAGUACAUUUAAAACGUUUUCCAGAUCAUCUAAUAACGAUGAAGCUGAGUCAGAACAGGAAGAAAACACCUGUCCUGAAAAAAAUGACCAAAGAGACAAAUUGAAAAGUAAAGACAGUCAAUCGGGAAGUAAUGAAUCUAAAUAUACGAGUUUUUUAUAUUCUAAAGAGAAGUGCUCUGUUAUAAGAGAACUGUCUCAAGAACACUGUGACGUAGCCGAAGAUUUAAGAGUGUCUAAGGAUACGAACCGUCUCGAAAACCUUGCACGAGUAGAACCGCAGUUAAGAGAUUCUCAUUUCUUUGGAAACUUGAAGAAUUCUGUCAGUUGCUCUGUUCUUUCUGAAAAAAGUCCUGGGGUUGAUCAUUUUUGGUGUGAACGUCCCAGAACCAACUCUGAGAGUGCUGCAUUUCGUAAGCAUCCUAUCGAAAGUGUCGUUGAAGACGCAAAAGACAAGGAAGCAAACAGUAACGAAACAUUAAAAAGAAAAGUAGGUUCGUUUAAAUCGGAAAGCGAGUUUGAUCAUUUAAACCCAAAGAGGCAUAAAAUAUCCCUAAGAAAAUCCAAAUCGGAGGAUAUGAAUUUAAUAGACUCAAAGAGAAAUGAUCAAACUUUGUUUGCAGUAGACUUAGAACAUUACAAAUCAAAAGAUUAUUUUUCUUCCGCUCAAAACUUGGCUUCUGUUAGUAUUGACACGUCUGAAUGUCGAGGCCAAGAGAAAACGUUCUUUCAGCAUCUUCGUCACAUUUAUCCUCUGUCCUUUCCAUGGAACAUCUAUGGGUAUUAUAGUAAGCUCAUGCAGACAUGUCAAAAUUCGGAAGUAUUUACACAUCUGGCAGCUAGAAAUAUCAGUAUAACGUCAGAUGGCGCUGUUAAGACACCUUCCCCUAAAUCCUCUCCAAGCUUUGCCAAAACUACUUCUCAUGAAAACAGUGGAAUCGUAAAUGACAGCCAAAGCGACACUUGGAGUGCAAGUGCAAAAAAGCGAGUACCUCGGACACUAACUGGCAAGCACGUGCGAUAUGGAACUGGUGCAAGUCUUUCCACCUUACAAACUCUCCGUGAAAAAAUCCACGAGAGACAAAAAGCCAAGGAACAUACGGUGCUGAAUGAGAAAUUGUUUUCCUCAGAGAGUAACAAGAAGAAAUCAAACUCUAAGCAGCCAACAAAGCGUGACCGUAGUCCUAAAACUAAGACAAAAAUCCCAAAAAUAUGAACCAUGUCUAAACAGCUUUUUAAAUAUUUUGAUACCACUUUGCAUUCCAUUUCAACAUUGAACUAGCAAACAAUUUAUUAAGAGAUUGAUAAAAAAAUAUGUUGAUUUUCCUUUUUUUACAAGUAGUGUGUCAUAGAUUUUAUACAAUGAUAAAGAAAUUUAUACAGUGUUAGUAUUUUGUCACGUAACUUCUGUAAUUUAAUAGAUAUUUUUUUAGAUGUGUUAUUUCUACUCUAAAUGUAAACACUGGGCUUCCCUGAUGGUGUUACCUAAAGGAUAUUUCAUCUGAUGCAUCUGUAAAAUAAGCUUUGUUAUAGGUUUGUAGAGAACACAUGAAAUUCUUCCAACUUACGUAAGCUCUCCACUAUCUCAAGUCCUGAGUUAAAGUAAUCUGUAAUGGAAUUCCGGG
rnacentral:misc_RNA from 1 species